rnacentral:ncRNA from 1 species
UAAUAGAGAGAUAAAAACACGAUUCGGUUGGUAGUCCGAAUGCAGUAUAUAAACUGUCAGUAACCUUCCCUCCUGGGGUUGUCCGUUCUCUUGAGAUUAAAU